CUGCUAAAAAAAUAGCCCUCCCGUAUCCCUAACCUCAUCCCCACCAUCCCACCCAUCGCCUGCAAUGGAUCCGCCGCCGCCCUGAUCCCGACCAUCCGCCGCCGCGCUCUGCCCCAUCCACCGCCGCUGCUCACCGCAUUCACCCUCUGUUGCAUCCCAGCACCUCCAUAGCCACCGUGGACCAUCUCUCUCCUUGGUCCUCUCUUGGAUCAACAUGCGGUGACGGAUGCUUCCGGUCGCGUGGUGGUGAUGCGGCUGGUCGUGGAACAAGGGUGAGGCGGACUGUGUCCCAUUCAUUGAUCUUCCUCCAGCUCCAAUUCCUCCUCUCCCACCGAUCGUCAUGUCUGCGACAGGCGCUCUGCUUACCUGCGGCAACGAUGCGUAUGGCGACAACAAUGUCCUUUUGUGCCCCUCCACUCUUCGGACCGCUGAUGCACGGAAGUACGCAGAGAAGAUCGCGCUCCGCUUAGCAAAUUCGUCCGUGUUCUAAGUGGCUGCUCGGCAAGAGCUUGUGCCGGAUGUUCAUCAUCAACGCCAGAUAGGGGUUCAGGCUCCUGUUGAACUCAUGGCAUCAGCCAUAUGGACCUGCAUGUAUUUGAUAGUUUGCUCAAUCAGAUUUAUCCCUUCAACCAUAGUUUUUUGGCUGGAUACUGAGAUGGCACCAUUGUGCUGCUGAAGUUAAACCCUGUUUAUUGGGACGUACAAGCGGUCGGCAAGCACACAUGGCGGCCAGGGAUAAGCCAUAUUUUUCCAAUGACUGCUGCUAGGAUUGAUGUCCUAUUGCCGGAGAAACAAUGGCAACAGUCGCACCGUUUUGUCCAGCGAUGAUAUCAUCCAUGUCUAUUAUUUUGUUGACAAUCACCAUAGAGAAAUUUUUCUCGGUGCGGGCACUCAAUUCACGAGCCAAACAUUGAUGCGGGCUACUAUGGGGGCUAGGAAGCAGGAUCAACUUGAAGCCAACUUAAAAUUAAUUCUAAUGAGCAUUUGGUCUUCAUUUUGUCGUGAUGCAAACACAUGAACGUGUGGACUACCAUCCAUUGAUGCGUGGAGACCAGAUAUUCAUGUAUCGGCCUCACGCGUGUCGUUGCUGGAGCCCAUUCAUGGCGAGGAUACAUGGUUGAUGGCCCAACAAUCCUUAGGGGAUGGAAGGAUCCCAUGACUAUAGGAAUGGCACUAAAUAAACUGUGUACUAACUAGAGAAAUGAUUUAUUUCAUAGGUCUAGAAUAUAUAGGCUGACAAGUAUUUGGCAUUCUGUCUUUUUAAUAAAUAGAUGAUUUUUCUACAAUAGUUCCAUGUUCAUAUGUCAUGCUUCUUUGGUGCAAUAGGAAACAAUGUCAUUGAUCGACCAGAUUAUAUAGGGAUUUAUAUCAUCCUGA